rnacentral:lncRNA from 1 species
GUAGCGCCAGUGUUCCUACACUGCCAAGUUCCGGCCCAGGACAGGCCGGAUUCAAUUCUCUCCCUCCUCCCCAUGCCUUCCCCCUUUUUUAAUAACUGACCAGCGCAGCGCAGUUCAAAUCACAGAGAGGGAAAGAGACAGCGAGCAGGCGGCAGUGGUUCAUUCUGCAGUGGCCAUAGCGAAAAGCUGUCUUCUCUGCAAAGUUCCAGCGAAAAUCUGUCUUCUCUGCAAAGUCCCAGUGAAAAUCUGUCUUCUCUGCAAAGUCCCUAGGGAUGCCAACUCUAUACAACGGAUGUUAUAGAUAUUCAGUUGAUUGCCUACCAAACGAAACAACUAUUGCCUGAGAAAGAAUCUGCAUACAAAAUAUGAGUUCUCCACGUGGCCACCCUGUCCUGUAACCAAUGGCAACAUCGGUCCAGACCCUUCCUCUGAGCCGUGACCCCAGCAAGACAUUCCGUGACCCCUACUCGACCCCUACCCGGCCCACAGCCCUACUGGCCCAGUGCAGUAUGGGUAGUGUAGGCAGCCUAGUGGAGCGCCCGGAUGCGUCCCCAGCUAAAGGCAGCCGGGCCGUGCCCCAGGUGGGACCCAGACAGACCAACAGGUUAUUAAAGAAAGGCUUCAACCAGAGAGAGCUGCUCAACUAUCUCAACAUCACCAGGAAAGAGGCCAAAGCGGGUAGCGGCCCAGGCAGCAGUAGGAAGGACAUCUUCUCCAGCAUGCAGUCCAUGAAGAGAGAGCAUGGACAUGAGGAGGAACACAUCAAGAUCUACCACAAAGACAGAACUGAGGUGGGCGUGUCAAAGAACUCACUGCCCAUUAGAGGGAAAUAUGAGAAGUCUCUUCCCAGGCCGUCUGCCUUCAAGCUGGUCACACCCAAGAACUUCAGUUCCAUGCAGAACCUCUACCCUGCCAAGAUAGAGGACUCAGACCAGGGCCUGUCCAACGGGCUCCACCGGGCCUACGCACACACACCUAGAGCUGUCUCUACCUCCUCUUCCUCCUCCUCACCCUCCCGCCAUGGAGGACCCACCUCCAGCGGAGCCAAGGCGGUGGCGUCAGUGCGUGGUCUGAGUCAGGAGGAUGAUGAUGAUGAUGAUAACAGCUGGUAUUAAUGUUGUGAUACAGGCGGUGGCGUCAGUGCGUGGUCUGAGUCAGGAGGAUGAAGGACACAAGACACAGAGCGACACCAGACCAGAGAGGACACACGAACAUCGAAGAGAGACCACAAGACAC